GAUGAAGAACGCAGUGAAAUGCGAUAAUUAAUGUGAAUUGCAGAAUUCAGUGAAUCAUCGAGUCUUUGAACGCACAUUGCGCCCCCUGGUAUUCCGGGGGGCAUGCCUGUCCGAGCGUCAUUGCUGCCCUCAAGCACGGCUUGUGUGUUGGGCUUCCGUCCCUGGCAACGGGGACGGGCCCAAAAGGCAGUGGCGGCACCAUGUCUGGUCCUCGAGCGUAUGGGGCUUUGUCACCCGCUCCCGUAUGUCCAGCUGGCAGCUAGCCUCGCAACCAAUCUUUUUAACCAGGUUGACCUCGGAUCAGGUAGGGAUACCCGCUGAACUUAAGCAUAUCAAUAAGCGGAGGA
rnacentral:misc_RNA from 1 species